GAGCCAGAGGAAGGCGUCAGCUCAUUUUGUUCACUCCGUGGUAAACAGCUCUCUGCAGUUUUGCUGUCCUAAAAAUCUAAUCGUCUUGUUUGUCUUCCCUGAUCUACAGAUCCUGCCUAGCCUAGUGCUUCAUGGAUUUUUCUGUCCCGGCAUUCUUGUCUCGUGCCAUAUCUGGAGGAGUGUGGAAACUCUAAGCCGCGACGCCUUCGACUCAUAGUCCCUGCUUUAUUAUCCGACUCCAAGCCCAGCCUCCCAAAGAACUCUCCAAGCCGAACUCAGAGGAUAAUUCACCUGCCUGUCCACACUCCGACGUCACAGACACCGUGGAGAAAGACUUAUCUCCCCCUGCCUCGCUCAGACUCCCUUCUCAAACGAUUCCAGUCCAAUCCACUGGCCAAGUCCUGGUCCCAGCUCUUUCCCAUCUCAGUGUUCAUAAUAAACUAUUUAAACGUUC